GGGUGCGAUCAUACCAGCACUAAUGCACUGGAACCCAUCAGAACUCCACAGUUAAGCAUGCUUGGGCAAGAACGGUACUAAGACGUGCUUUGUCACAAGACUUCCACAGAAAUAGGCAAGACUUGGCUAUAACAAACU
rnacentral:rRNA from 1 species